rnacentral:rRNA from 1 species
UGGGGAAUCUUGCGCAAUGGGCGAAAGCCUGACGCAGCAACGCCGCGUGCGGGAUGAAGGCCUUCGGGUUGUAAACCGCUUUCAGUGGGGACGAACCAAGACGGUACCCACAGAAGAAGCCCCGGCCAACUACGUGCCAGCAGCCGCGGUAACACGUAGGGGGCAAGCGUUGUCCGGAUUUAUUGGGCGUAAAGAGCUCGUAGGUGGUUCGAUAAGUCGAGUGUGAAAACUCCAGGCUCAACCUGGAGACGCCACCCGAUACUGUCGUGACUAGAGUCCAGUAGGGGAGCGUGGAAUUCCUGGUGUAGCGGUGAAAUGCGCAGAUAUCAGGAGGAACACCAGUGGCGAAGGCGGCGCUCUGGGCUGGCACUGACACUGAGGAGCGAAAGCGUGGGGAGCGAACA